rnacentral:sRNA from 1 species
UUAAAUUAACUUGACAUCAAUAAAGCGGACGGACGGAAAAAAAAAUUGCUGAAUAAACAAUUAAAUUAAAGAUGCUGCACCGACGUCAAACUCGCAUCGGCCGCUUCGUUUGAGAGCACGGACCAUAACAGACGUGGACCAGCGACAUAAUGUGCCCAGGGCAGAUGAACUGGUAAGUGUCAAAUAAAUAAUACGCCACGGCCAAAAAAACUUCAAGGCUGAAUCCAAAAAUUAUGUGCCUCCUAAAACUAAAGCUAAGUAUCCUUAACUAUCAAUUCAAAAGAAAAUCCAAAUCCUAAUUCAUUUUUCUCUUAUCCUAUAGCUUCCUACACUACUGGCUUAUACCUAUGGACCUUGGGCCAAUGUAAUGGAAUUCAACUUAUAGCUAAAACG